CCGAAGUUCAACAAAGUCAACCUGACCUGAAUAAGAAGCGAUUUCCUAGCUGUGAGAUUAAUUAAACAUGGGAGCACUUUACCGUGGAAGGCUGCAGAUUACAGUCAUUUGGACUCUUCAGGCUAGCAUUCAGAAAAAAAGAAUAAUUUCCCUUACUGAUACUGGGAUUACUUCAAGACAUGGUGAAAGCUCUGUGCUCCCCGUGUGUGAGGAUCCUGUGACUCUAGAGCUUUCCUCCAUGUUGGACUCCUGCACAGGCGAGAAGGUGGGCACUACUGUGGGAAGCAGUUGCUGAGGGAACUGUAGUUCAUACCAUGGAAGGAUCUAAGUCCGUGGCUAAAAGAAGUGCCACUAAAAAAGAAAAAAACCCUCUUCCUUCCAAGAACUAGGUGAAUAGGAGUGCCUGACUUACAGAAAACAAAAAAGGCUUGAAUGCACAUGAGCAGCAAUGUAAACACUGGGCAGCAGUUUUAUACCCAUGCCAGUUACUUUAUUUUGGACAAGCAUUUUUCGUACCACAGGUUGUUGUAAAGCUCAAGGGAAAGAAGAGACAGUUUCCUGAGAAAGAAAUUAGUUUUGUAUGAGGAGUCCUGGCUUUCCCAAAGGGUAAAACUAUGGACAUAGCCCUGGAAGGUCAGACUGGGAAAUACAAGGAGUGGUGGAUGAAGGCUCUCCCAAAAGCUUUCUAUAUGACUUUGGAGAGAAUAUCUGUGCCCUGAAGCAGGACUGAAUGGAAAAUUUAAUUUUAACUCUGUGUAUGAAUCUCUGAAAGUUGAACAGGGCCUCAAGGCCCAAGGUUAAUGGUGUCCUGCUGAGAGAGCCCUAUCUAAAUUAGAGCCUUCAAACUUCACCUCAGUUUUCUUCAUCCAUGAUGUGACUUUGAAAGACAGAAACCCAGGAGAAGUCAAGAUGAGGCCCUCCCUUUAAAGUGGCCAGUGGAGAGGUGUUCAACGAAUGAGCUCCUAGAAUGCAUAUUUCAAAUUCUGAUAACAAAAUUUCACCUUUUCCUUUAGCUUUUAAGAAAAAGUUGGACUUCAGUCAGUUCCCACAUUUUAGUGUUUUUCAUAGUCAUUCCAGCCUGUCUACAUACCUAUUGGCACUGUGCCAAUGAACAUUUUCUCUGUUGUGCCAGCAACUAUGAUUUCUUCCCAUCAGGUGAUGCAUAAAGACAUAAUUAGUGAAAGUCUGGGUAUUAAUUCCACUAAAAAAGUGGAGAAUCAUCUUGAGAGUAGUUGUAGAGCAGAAUGUAUUUUCCCUCUCGCACAUAUUCAAGAAGUGAAAGUGGAACUAAAAGACAGAAUGAAACAUUUUCAGAUAGGCCUGUCCAUCUCACAAGGGUAUGUGUAGGAAGAAACUGAACUAUGAAAGUGGCUGGGUUUUAAGAACCUUGCGUUGAAGCUGGAAAUACAGGAAACUGAUAUAGGCAUAGAAAUAAUAUGCAACUAUGAAUGAAAAGUAAAAGUGUUGAGACUUUUGUCAAGGUACCAUUAAUUAAGGAUUCCUACUUUUCCAAAUUAUCAGUCUGGUUUCUUCUGUGGAACAAUUACUGGAAACAGAUAUCUGUUCUUUCUGAAAAAUAUCUUGUAGCAAGAUGCUA